rnacentral:rRNA from 1 species
GAUUAAAGGCUACGGUAUGAGAUGAGUAUGCGUUCUAUUAGCUAGUAGGUGUGGUAACGGCACACCUAGGCUACGAUAGAUAGGGGCCCUGAGAGGGGGAUCCCCCACACUGGUACUGAGACACGGACCAGACUCCUACGCGAGGCAGCAGUAAGGAAAAUUGGACAAUGGACGAAAG